UGAGAUGAACUCUUUUUUAGAAAAACUGCAAGUUUAACUGGGACUUGCAAGUUUAACCAACAUUGUUAUAAUUGGUCUUUUAUUUUUUCUUUUUCUUUUUUUUUUUUAAUCUUUGAGAAUAGCAUAUAGAAAUCAAAGAAACUGUCAUCAAAUCAAAUUUGUAGGACUAUUAGAAACCAUCUUGUUCAAUGCAGGCCAGCCAGUAAGUGUUCACUAAAUGGACUGUCCUAUUACUCAACAGUAAUUGUGAAACAGUAAUUGUGAAAAUGUUGAGUGUAAGUUGUUUUAAUUCCUAUUUAUUUUUGGUUCCAUUCUUGAAAGAACUAGCUAUUCCACACGUCAACCUCCAGUUAUUUAAAGAUGAAUUAUAUCUUUAGCCUUCACUUCUUCAGGCUUAACAUUUUAUUGUUUGUCACAUAUCCUGAGUUUGUCUGGAUCAUUUAUAUAUAGGAGUUAUAUCUUUUCAAUUGUUUAUUGCUUAGACACAGUAAUGGUUAACUUGGUUAUGUCUAGUGAAACCAGAUGAGCUCUAGCAGUACAUAUUUUUAUUUUAUUGUUUGUAACUCAGAUGGCCUUGAGUGUGAUCUUAUCUGUCUUCUGAGUUCCAGCUGUAUGCUACCAUAGCGAGGCCUCAAACAAGGUUUCAGUACUAAUUACAUAUCAAAUGUGUUCUUUUUGUUGUUUAGUCCAGGCUGGGUUAGAAUUCAUAUCAAUCCUCCUCACUCAGUUUCUGAAGUGAUGUACACAGGCACCAUGCACAAUUUAAUUUUUUAAGUCAUUUCAAAGAAAAUAAAAUGAAGGGGCUGGUGAGAUGGUUCAGUGAGUAAGAGCACUGACUGCUCUUCCGAAGAGUAUUUCAAUUCCCAGCAACCACAUGGUGGCUUAUAACCACCCAUGAGAUCUGACACCCUCUUCUGGCACGUCUGAAGGUAGCUACAAUGUACUUAUUUAUAAUAAUAAUAAUAAUAAUAAAUAAAU
rnacentral:lncRNA from 1 species